rnacentral:tRNA from 1 species
GGAGUUGUGGUUUAGUGAUAGAGCACUUGCCUAGCAUGUAGGAUGCACUGGGUUAGAUUCUCAGCACCUCAU